CGCAUGCGCAGUGGCCGGUAGCGCAGUUACCUGCAACGUAGUAUCGUCACAGUCGGUAUCGUCACGAAAAUUAUGCUUUAGAUGAAGUUUCUAAUAAUGGAGAUGAUAAUUAAGAUUUUGGAUGUCCUUACAUCCUUACAUUAAGAAAAGAUUGAUCAGUGAGCAGGGAAUUGUUGGUUCAUACAGGUAGCCCAAAUAGUGGUAUAUCUGGACAAUUUAGAUACAAAAUCCAAUAUAGUAAGAAUUUUGUAGAAAUGUCCAUAGCAUGUGUAAAGAUAAUUGGAGGUACUGGUAAGCCAAGAUUUGAAGUGAAAGUUAUACAGGAAGUUACUUAUACGUUGGAGAGUGUGAUGAUAACUCUGAGGGGGAAGCUGAAAGAUAUGGGUAGAUCCAUUCCCCACUCUGCUGUAUGGUUGUACCCUGUUGGACCAGUCAUCUUGCAAGAGAUUGUGGGUGCUGUGUAACGUACUCUAUCAUCUGUUGACUGGAAUGUGUGUUGCGUCUGAUAUUUGUGAAUUGUUAACCAAGACUUCUGAUGACAGUUUUAUUCAGCAUAAAUGAAUUUUUUAUUUUGGUAAUUGACUUCCCAAUUAUUAUGUAACUUUAAAUCAGAGUGUAUUUUUUUGUCAUUUGUAAAUGAACCUUCCAGGUCUUUGUGUAUGUAGAUUAGUGUGGAAGACAUGUAUUAGAGUAGACGAUGUAAUAAGAUGUAUAUAUGUCUGCUUUCAUGCUCUGAUUUUGCUUGUCAAGCUACUGGUUCAAAGCUAAUUUAUGACUAUGUUUACCUGAAUUUAUCCUGAACAUUGCAAUAUUGUACUGACUGGAUCUUGAGUUGUGGACAGACUCAUACUUAGCUCUGUUUUGGGUAUCCCUGGUCAUCGCAGCUCUCUUUCUCUCUCUCUCUCUCUCUCUCUCUCUCUCUCUCUCUCUCUCUCUCUCUCUCUCUCUCUCUCUCUCUCUCUCUCCCCCCCCCCCCUCUGUGUGUGUGUGGUGUGUGUGUGUGUGUGUGUGUGUGUGUGUGUGUGUGUGUGUGUACUCAAGGAGAGCGUGCAACCAUUGACUGCAGCUAGAUGCUUCUCACAAAUAAUCUUUGCACAUUAUUGAACUUACUGAUACGAUUAUCAGUUUUAUUCAUAUUGCUGUGACGAAACGUUUUCUACUGGUUUGUGCCUGGUGUGGUUUAGAUUCAUGAGUUGAUCCCCACAUUGUAACUUAGGCCCUAAUAUUUUUUCGUUAUUUUGAUCUUUCAUGAGUCAACAUAUCCGUAAAUACUAUGGUUUAUAUGGAUGAUUGAUACCUACUCAUGGUCGAGUAUAUUCUUCUGGUCUCCGGCCAGUGUUACGAGUUCUUUUGAGUUGGCUCACUUGUUGAACACAUUGGCUCUGAAAUUUUUUCUCUUCUCUUUUGGUUUUGAAGGUUUGAUUAUAUAGAUCUUAGCUUAAAAUUUAUAAAUUCUACUAAUUUACAUUGCCUCUGUAAUUAUUUCUGUAGUUUAAUGGUGUAAUGUUGUAGUUUUGACACUGUAUUAUUUGUCUUGUGACAAUACGUGUGACAGAUCUGAAAAUCUGAAUGCCAUAUCCUGAUAUAUGUGUAGAUUAUAAUUUUUAUAGUAGGCAUUUUUAAUAUGUUCUCUAUAAUACAGUAUGUAUAACAUACUUCUAUACUUCUGUCAACCAUCCUGGGCAUUAUUUUGUACUCCGUUUGGCAUACCGUAUAGUCAAGUACAAAAUAUUGUAAACACCUAAUUUCAAAAUUUUGUGAGUGGUAUAUUAUAAUGAGUCACCCUCCUCUAACAUAACUGUACUUUUUUUUUAAUAGAGAUAACUGAUGCUAUGUAUACUAUCAAUUGUCGCAUAGGUGAAAAUUAUCUCAGCUGUUUCACUAAAAGAAUUCAUGCCAUUUUGUGUGUGAUGUAUUAUAUUUCAGGCUAAAAAUAUAAAAAAGAAAUUAAUGUAUUACAAUCCAUAUGCACUAACAAUUAAAAUUACUCUUCCUUAAAGAAUAACUGAAAUUACAAAAUUUCUGGCAUACUUGAAAUUCAUAUUAUUAAUUGCACAAAUUAAUGUGAAUUAUUAAAUUUAUUUCUGUAUUAAUUUACAAAAUAAUGACAUAUUUUAGCGAUGAUUCAUCUUUUGUUUUGUAAACUCUGUUUCUUUGCAAACUCUUUGGAAAUUGUGAGUAUGGCAGAAUGUAAGUAGUGGUGGGGCAUGCCUCUGAUGGAAACGCAAAUAUUUUGAUAAAAUAAAAAGAUAUUUGUAGCAACA